CCUACGGGGGGCAGCAGUGAGGAAUAUUGGUCAAUGGUCGGGAGACUGAACCAGCCAAGCCGCGUGAGGGAGGAAGGUACAGAGUAUCGUAAACCUCUUUUGUCAGGGAACAAAGACUGGGACGCGUCCCCGGAUGAGUGUACCUGAAGAAAAAGCAUCGGCUAACUCCGUGCCAGCAGCCGCGGUAAUACGGAGGAUGCGAGCGUUAUCCGGUUUUAUGGGGUUUAAAGGGUGCGAAGGCGGUCUGUUAAGUCAGCGGUCAAAGCCCGGGGCUCAACCCCGGCCCGCCGUUGAAACUGGCAGGCUCGAGUGGGAGAGAAGUAGGCGGAAUGCGCGGUGUAGCGGUGAAAUGCAUAGAUAUCGCGCAGAACUCCGAUUGCGAAGGCAGCAUGCCGGCUCCACACUGACGCUGAGGCACGAAAGCGUGGGUAUCGAACAGGAUUAGAUACCCUUGUAGUC
rnacentral:rRNA from 1 species